rnacentral:rRNA from 1 species
AGUGAACGCUGGCGGCGUGCUUAACACAUGCGAGUCGAACGGCAGCGGGGGCUUCGGCCUGCCGGCGAGUGGCGAACGGGUGAGUAAUGCAUCGGAACGUGCCCAUGUCGUGGGGGAUAACUACGCGAAAGCGUGGCUAAUACCGCAUACGCCCUGAGGGGGAAAGCGGGGGAUCUUUCGGGACCUCGCGCGAUUGGAGCGGCCGAUGUCGGAUUAGCUAGUUGGUGGGGUAAAGGCUCACCAAGGCGACGAUCCGUAGCUGGUCUGAGAGGAUGAUCAGCCACACUGGGACUGAGACACGGCCCAGACUCCUACGGGAGGCAGCAGUGGGGAAUUUUGGACAAUGGGCGCAAGCCUGAUCCAGCCAUGCCGCGUGAGUGAAGAAGGCCUUCGGGCUGUAAAGCUCUUUCGGCCGGGAAGAAAUCGCAUUCUCUAAUAUAGGAUGUGGAUGACGGUACCGGACUAAGAAGCACCGGCUAACUACGUGCCAGCCGCCGCAGUAACAC